CAGUACGAAAGCAAGCCACCACUUCCAGAACACAAGCAACACUGUCAAGAGCUGUGGAUGCUGGCGAUACAGGAACUUCAACAUCGCAUCACAGUCCACAAAGACGUCCUUCACAGGGGUCUGGCAGCCACACGAGCAGGCCUACCAAGAGACGUCGUCCUGAUGUCGCACCAACACCAGCAUUAAGCACACCCCCACGUCGUAUUUCAACUGUGUUGCCUCAGCCACCAGAACACAUUUUGGAGAGUACUCAAUCACCGGAACCACAUUCCCCUCAGCUGUCUGAACCAGACAUCAUGCCCCCGGAAGCCCAGCAGGAAUCUGAACAACAGGAAACAUACACCCUCCAUCUGCAAGCAAUAAACGUUAACCAACCUACCACGCCUCAGGAAAGUACCCCGCCACC